GCACUGAUUCCUGUAUUUCGCAGGAUGAUACUUCAGACUACCAUUGUUAUCAUCCUUCCAAAUAUACUUGUCCACCUGGCAAAAGAUGCUGUUACUACCUGACACCAGAUUGGGACUGCAAAUAUUGCCAAAUAGAUGAUUGCUUCCAAGGGAUAUGUUUAACAAGAUAAAGUAAAGAUUUAUAAAGUAAAGAUAAAGUAAAGAUUUAUCUAACAGGUGUCUCAACAAGUACGAUCGUGCUAUAGUGGACCAGGAACUGCGUAACCGAGUUUAAUU